rnacentral:rRNA from 1 species
GGUAGCUCGGUGGUAGGGGCAGGGGGAAGGCGUAGGGUGCGGGGGUUAUGCGGAAUUACGGGGGGUAAAGGGUGCGUGUGCGGCCGAGCAAGUCGAGUGUGAAAGUCCCUGGCUGAGCUUGGGAAUUGCGCUGGGAACUACGUGGCUGUAGGGUGGCAGAGGAAGGUGGAAUUCCACGUGUAGCGGUGAAAUGCGUAGAGAUGUGGAGUAACACCAAUGGCGAAGGCAGCCUUCUGGGCCAACACUGACGCUCAUGCACGAAAGCGUGGGGAGCAAACAGGAUUAGAUACCCCUGUAGUC